AUUGCUUGUAAUUGCUUGCUCACUAACAAAACCAUUUUCAUACUUCACACUUUCAAACACUUUUCAAAACAAACAUUAUGUAUACAUUCUAAAAGAUACGAGAAUCAUUACAAAAUUGCCUUACAUUGGCAUCUUCAAAACAUCUUUCCAAACACUCACUUUCAACAAAUAUUUUCAAAAUCAAAACUUUGUAUACAUUCUCAACGAUACGAGAAUCAUUGCAAAGUUUGUCGAACAAAGGCGUUUUCAAAAUAUUUUCAAACUUACAUAAAACACAAAGCAUUUCAAAGUGAGUUAGCAAUUUAG